rnacentral:tRNA from 1 species
CGGAAGUAGUUCAGUGGUAGAACAUCACCUUGCCAAGGUGGGGGUCGCGGGUUCGAACCCCGUCUUCCGCU